UAUCCCCCCCCUGUGUGCCCUUGCCCUCCCCCACGACUGCAUAACGCGAAGAACCUUACCUACACUUGACAUGCCUCUUGGGACUUUCAGAGAUGAUUGUCUUCGGUUCGGCCCGGGGAGUGCACAGGUGCUGCAUGGCUGUCGUCAGCUCGUGUUGUGAGAUGUUGGGUUAAGUCCCGCAACGAGCGCAACCCUCGUCCUUAGUUGCUAACAUUCAGUUGAGAACUCUAAGGAAACUGCCCGUGAUAAGCGGGAGGAAGGUGGGGACGACGUCAAGUCAUCAUGGCCCUUACGGCCUGGGCUACACACGUGCUACAAUGGCAGUGACAAUGGGCAGCGAGGCGGUGACGCCAAGCUAAUCCCAAAAACUGUCUCAGUUCGGAUUGUACUCUGCAACUCGAGUACAUGAAGUUGGAAUCGCUAGUAAUCGCAGAUCAGCAUGCUGCGGUGAAUACGUUCCCGGGUCUUGUACACACCG
rnacentral:rRNA from 1 species